UACGGAGGGUGCGAGCGUCGUCCGGAUUUACUGGGCGUAAAGCGCACGUAGGCGGUUUGUUAAGUGAGAGGUGAAAUCCCAGAGCUCAACUCUGGAACUGCCUUUCAUACUGGCAAGCUAGAAUCCGGAAGAGGUAAGUGGAACUCCUAGUGUAGAGGUGGAAUUCGUAGAUAUUAGGAAGAACACCAGUGGCGAAGGCGGCUUACUGGACCGGAACUGACGCUGAGGUGCGAAAGCGUGGGGAGCAAACAGG
rnacentral:rRNA from 1 species